GGUGAACGAGAUCUUGCCACCACUGCUGGGAAGUCUGUGCUCACUGUAUAAGCUGUUGACCUUUACAAAGCCAACAGGGCAGAUGCUGUAAAGCAGAGGGCUCCUCAGACUCAUGCCCGGCUUGGAAAAUCAAGGGUGUGAACAUCCUCUGCGACAACUGAUGGCCAAGGGUAGCAGGAGCUGAUGAAUAAGUCAUCCUCCCACAGAAGCUGAUCCUGCCAAAAACAUUUUAUUUAUCUAAUGUGCAACAGUCCAGUGCACAUUGAUGAUUAUCUGUAGCAUUCGACUCCAUGCCCCUGGUCAUGACAGCAAGAAUCUUUGGAAACAGUAGGACAACUGAAACAAUACUAAAAGCCCAAGGGAAUUCAAUAAAGCAGAUGUGCACUGGCAGCUUCACAGCAAAGGAAGAAAUUUAAAGCCACACUGAGUUGUGCAGAAGGCCUUCAGAUGUGCAAUGGCAAAAGAAUCAUCUAAGUAUUUCUGUGUUUCUUCUGGACAAUGGGAUUGAGAAUGAAGGUGGCAGCUGAACACGACUGUGAAUUCAAAGGCCACAGCGGCAACAGAGGACAAAAUCCAUCAUGAGCCUGAUGGGUUGGUGAGACGGAUUCAGGCACAGUGGGAAGGUGUAGGUUUGGCAAAAGGAUGAGGGUCCCACCUUAACAGCUGGUUUUUGGCAGUCUUCCCAGAAGUGCCUCCCUGAACUCUGAACAGCAGGUAUGAAUAAUGGCAGUUUCCAAAUCCUAUCACCCAGUCUUAAUCAUCCACAGCAUAGAUCCAUCCAGCAUGGCUUUAGUGAAUGCUUGGCCCAGUCGAAACAGAAGUUAAGUGCAGUAAAAGUUCUGGUGCAUCUAGUUAUAGCUGAGACUUUGUGCUGUCAGGCAUGUUUUUACUUGAAACUAUGAGAUAAACAUAGCAUUGCGUUACAAUGCUAAUUCCAUUUGAUGGUGAGCAAUUAAAAACAUUACAUUAAAAAUGAAAACAUUGUAGCUGAGAUGAAAAACUUGGAUGAGUUGAAAGAUUUCAAAGAAUGUUCUUAAUGGAGCAGUUGAUGCCAGAACCCUUGCGAGUACAAGUCUAUUCCUUCCUUCAUUAGGAUUGCUUCAGUCAGAAACAUUUAUAAUGCCUUGGAGGACAGGAUCAAUUCCAAGUCCGAGACCCCAUUUCUCCAUGAUCUGAUCAUGCCUGACUUGCCACCUUCUUCUCUUUAAUGGUUCUCUCAAAACUCCAUUCAACAAGGAUCUACACCACUUAACAGCCAUAGAAAUGCCAAAAAUGAAUUUUAUAUAAAAAAUUAGAAGCAUACAAAGCUUUGAGGAGGUCAAGGAGAACAAGGUUCAGGAAAUCAGGGUUGCAGGAAGAGCAAGAAAGCAUUGCCAGCACCUGGGGCUGUCCACAGCCAUGUACCAAAGCCCAAAGCUUCACUUCUACUGUCCAAAUGUUGCAUGGGUGGCUCAAACCCAGGAACUCAGUGUUAUGGCUGAGUUAUGUCCCUAAGGAUUCUUAUAUCAAAGUCCUGAUCCCCAGUCCCUG
ensembl:lncRNA